AUGCUCGCACGCUAUGUCCAUAUUUCGAAUUUCUCAACAAAGUACCCUUUUUGGAAACACACAUAUCUUAACAUAGAUGAGAAUCACAAGCUACAUAGGCACACUAAUACUAUUAUCAUCCAUGAAAAUGGAGUAAUUAUUAUCGUAUAUACACAAUUUUGCAAUAUCCCCCAAGGACAAUUGAUCAUUGGCCUCUAUUCUCCAGAGCCAUCCGAGGUUUCUUCAUCCUCAUCACUCUCAUCAGACAAGUUAUCUCUGUUUGUAGCUCGCAGUACAAGAUUAAGCAAUUCUGUGUUGUCUUCAAGAUCCUCGGAUGAAUCUUCUCCAGCCGCUGGUUGCCUACGUCGUGAUGCCAGCACGUGCCAGACCAAUUCCUCCGGCAAGGCAAAUUGCCAGAGCUUUGCUUUCCUCUUUCGGGGCUUCAACUGGAACAUACAUGUGAUGGUAAGAUAA
rnacentral:rRNA from 1 species